GAUGAACGCUGGCGGCGUGCCUAAUACAUGCAAGUCGAGCGAACAGACGAGGCGCUUGCUCCUCUGUCGUUAGCGGCGGACGGGUGAGUAACACGUGGAUAACCUACCUAUAAUACUGGGAUAACUUCGGGAAACCGGAUCUAAUACCGUAUAAUAUAUUGAACCGCAUGGUUCAUUAGUGAAAUACGGUUUUUCUGUCACUUCUAGAUGGAUCUCGGCCGCUUUAGCUAGUUGGGAAGGUAACGGCUUACCAAGGCGACGAUGCGUAGCCGACCUGAGAGGGGGAUCGGCCACCCUGGAACGGGGACACGGUCCAGACUACUGAGAGAGGCAGCAGUAGGGAAUGUGACGCAAUGGGCGAAAGCAUGACGGAGCAAGGCCGCGUGAGUGAUGAAGGUCUUCGGAUCGUAAAAAUCUGUUAUCAGGGAAGAACAAAUGUGUAAGUAAAUAUGCACGUAGUGACGGUACCGAAUCAGAAAGCAACGGCUAACUACGUG
rnacentral:rRNA from 1 species